CUCUUCUAGGUAGGCAACUCAUCCAUUUCGCUCCGAAGCCACAUGACCGCACUCACUUCUUGCAGUUUGAUGAACAUGUAAGAUAACAAAGAGCUCGCUAUUACAUUAUAACAGAGCAUCAUAAAUGUUUGUUCUAAGCUAAUCAGGAAUAAGAGCUUAAGUAUAUUCUUAGUUAGACAUGUACAUGCAUAUGCUCAGUUAGCAACCACAUAAAUAUACUACAACUAGUCAUCUCAGAUGAGAAAUUGAUUUCCAGCUCUUGUCUGCAUGUAUUUUACUCAUCUUAGCAAAUCACACCAGUAACAGUUAACUUCGACAUGUUUUCUCAUUAGGUUGUCAAACUGCAAGAAGGCAUGCCUUGCUGAUCUUUGUAACUUAAAUAUGAAAAACUCACUGUACCUUUCUCUCACUGAUUGAACAAAAAAAUGGUUUCAAUUAGUUCCCUGCUUGCUGCUCUGGGCCAGUAUGGUUCAGUUAUUUCUUGACUUUCAACUUUAUUCAGACAAGAUGCAAGCAAGAUAUACAGAGUGACGCUACAGCAGUUCUAACUUCAGAAUAUGUGUUUAUUGCAUUUUUCAAAGUUGAACAUUCAACAAAUAGAUGUAUAAGGUAGCAGGUAGUGUCCUUUCAAAAGUUAUUCCUUACAUAUUUGAAACAAAGCUACUGCUAGACUUGAAUGUAAAAGAACUAGUAGAGAAAAAAAGUAGUAGAAUUGACCCUAAUAUUUCCCAUAUUAGGCGACAAAAUGCAUAUUAUUUCUAAACAAUGCUAUAUUUUUAGCACAUAGUGUCAAAAUUAAUCAGACCGAUGAUAUACCAAUGAAACUUAUGUGCAACAAAAUGAUUCUCUCCUCACAUUUCUACACUACAUCCAAUUAUCAAUAUCUAACACAAAAUGGUCGGCUGUAUUUUGUUACUUUGUUAUCAGAUAUAGGAGUACUAUAUGCUAAUAAUAAUGGGAUUUUUUACUAUGGAGUAUAAAAUCAGUACCGAAAGGUAGAGAUCCUACUUGAGCAUCUACAUGUAUAAUGUUAAGGCACACAUAAAUGACAUCAAAAAAGGGUUGGAGUUGUCUUGAAUAGUAGUCCAGAUCUAGCGUCAACUAACUUCAAACAGGGGGAGGAGGAAUGUGAUGGGGAAGCAGGCAGAUGAACAACAGGAAGGGCCUCUCACAGCGGUGGUGCUGGAAAAGGGAGAGGAGCCGGUGGUGGCUCUCAGUGACGAUGUGCUUGGCGAGCUCGCCGGGGAGGACGAGGCGAACGGAGGACUGGCGGCGGAAACCCUAGACGAAGAUGAGGGAGGGGGAGGGGGUGGUGUACCUCGGGGGAGAAGGCCAGCUUUCCCUAGGAAGAAGAGGAAGCAGGCGUCCGACGGCGUUAGCAGCGACGACGGCGGCUGCGCGCGGUUCUCGCCGUCUCUUGUGACCGCGGCCGCGUCUCUUCUCCCUCCCGCAUGAGGCGUGUGAGACGCGAGGUACCCCUCGAUGCUGGAAAGCCCCGUGGAUCGGGGAGGAUCAGACGGGAUAUUCGGGGCUGACCCGGUUGA
rnacentral:lncRNA from 1 species